AUGACCCAAACCCUCCACAUGACGUUGUUUAAACAGGCUCUUUAUUCUGUUCUCUUUCCAGCCUUAAAUACGCACAUGCUUACUGAGAAAAUUAUACAAAGGGUUGGCCUUGGUUCCACAAUCCCUCCUCGGAGCUCCCUCCAUUCCUGCUGCUAUCAGCACAACACCUCAGUCCGGUCGUGGCCAUUGUUCCCCUCGCCAGAAGCCUCCUUAGGAAGGCAGGACGGCAGCGGGAAGGAGAGCAGAGCUCCACAGGCGAGCGCACCGCCAGGCAGAGGCUCCCGUCCUCCGUCCCCCGGCGCUCGCAACGCCUCGGCUCACACCAACCAGCCCCGCUACCUGUGCCUGCGGCCGAGCCGGGCUGCGCGGGCAACCCUACGUAGAGAAACUACAGCCCACCACCACCACCACCACCCCCGCCCCCGCCCGUUUCCCCGGCAACCCCACCGCGCUGACAGGGGACGACGGGACGGAGCGAGGCGGGGGGACGCCCCCCACCACCCGGCCGGGCUGCAGCGUCCCGCCGGGGCGAGGCCGCCGCUCUCCUCCCGUUUCCACGGAAACCCCGGGGCGGCGCGAGGCGCCGGAAGAUUCUCGGCGGCAGACACAGCGCGGCGCGGCCGGCAGCGGCGGGGGGAGAGCCGGCCCGGAGCGGCGGGUGGGGGAAUGAACCGAGGAACUCGUGGCCGCAGCCCGCCUCGCGCACACACCCCCACACCCCGCCCGGCCGCCGGCGCUGAUGGGCUGGGGAGGGCGGCUCUUUGUUGUUUGUUUCCAAACCAGGCACCAGCAGCCUCGAGAGGCGCAGCCCCGCACCUGAGGAGCCCUCCGGCCGCCAGGGGAAGAGCACGUACCUGGCGCCGCCGAGCCUGGGCAUGGGUGCGCGCUGAGGCGCCUGGAGCCGGCGGCACCGCGCCGAGCCGAGCCGCGGCUCGCCAACUGCCACUAGUUUGCACGCGCUGGGAGGCGGACGGCUCGGGCGGGGCUGCCUGGCUCCACCCGCCGGGCGGCUCCCUGGCCCCCUCGCCUUCCCUCCCCGCCGCCAUGUCACUUCCUCCCCGAGCCGGGGGGGAAACUUCUCCCCGGGCGGCAGGGCUAGUUCGUUUUGGGACGGCUCUGAGAACGGAACGCCAGGCUGCCCCGACCCCUGGCAGGGAUGAAAAUGGGGUAGAUAUGGGGCAGGCUGGGCUGUGGCGGCACGCAGGCUCUCUGGGGACGGGUCUGGUGGCGGGGUGA
rnacentral:lncRNA from 1 species